AGAGUUUGAUCAUGGCUCAGGAUGAACGCUGGCGGCAGGCUUAAUACAUGCAAGUCGAACGGUAAGGCCCGAAGUGGCAACGACGGAGGGCACACGAGUGGCGCACGGGUGCGUAACGCGUAUGCAACCUGCCCCCGACCGGGACAAAACGUCGAGAAAUUGGCGCUAAUAUCCCAUGUGGACACCGGAUGGCAUCUUCCGGUGUCUAAAGAUUCAUUGGGUCGGGGAUGGGCAUGCGUAUCAUUAGCUUGUGGCGGGGUAACGGCCCACCAAGGCGACGAUGAUUAGGGGUUCUGAGAGGAUGGUCCCCCCACACUGGAACUGAGACACGGUCCAGACUCCUACGGGAGGCAGCAGUAGGGAAUAUUGGGCAAUGGAAGCAAUUCUGACCCAGCCAUGCCCGCGUGCAGGAAGACGGCCCUAUGGGUUGUAACUGUCUUUUUCCGCGGAGUAACCGCCGGGACGUGUCCCGGCCUGAGAGUACGCGGGGAAUAAGUAUCGGCUAACUCCGUGCCAGCCGCAGC
rnacentral:rRNA from 1 species